AACAACCCUACCUCAUCCUGUUGAACAGUAAACCUAUCUCUAACACAAACACUAGAAUAAUACAUUCAUUUAGGUUAGUAAUACAGUUCUGUUUUUCAAUCUACCUUUUUCAGUGCCUACCCUGCAAGCUUGGGAAUGGGGUAACCUGGUUAGUUUAGGUUUGAUUCUUUCAAAUAUUCAAUCAAACAGUAUGUUAGUUUAGGUUUGAUUCUUUCAAAUAUUCAAUCAAACAGUAUGUUAGUUUAGGUUUGAUUCUUUCAAAUAUUCAAUCAAACAGUAUGUUAGUUUAGGUUUGAUUCUUUCAAAUAUUCAAUCAAACAGUAUGUUAGUUUAGGUUUGAUUCUUUCAAAUAUUCAAUCAAACAGUAUGUUAGUUUAGGUUUGAUUCUUUCAAAUAUUCAAUCAAACAGUAUGUUAGUUUAGGUUUGAUUCUUUCAAAUAUUCAAUCAAACAGUAUGUUAGUUUAGGUUUGAUUCUUUCAAAUAUUCAAUCAAACAGUAUGUUAGUUUAGGUUUGAUUCUUUCAAAUAUUCAAUCAAACAGUAUGUUAGUUUAGGUUUGAUUCUUUCAAAUAUUCAAUCAAACAGUAUGUUAGUUUAGGUUUGAUUCUUUCAAAUAUUCAAUCAAACAGUAUGUUAGUUUAGGUUUGAUUCUUUCAAAUAUUCAAUCAAACAGUAUGUUAGUUUAGGUUUGAUUCUUUCAAAUAUUCAAUCAAACAGUAUGUUAGUUUAGGUUUGAUUCUUUCAAAUAUUCAAUCAAACAGUAUACUAUGUUAGCUAUAAUUCAAUCUGCCCCAAACAUAUUAAUGUGGUACUAAACAACUGUUUGAUUGCAGCCUGAAGCAGGAAGACAGAAGCUUAAUGAAGAAGACUGGUGAGGGCCCCCGCCAUCACUGAAGAACAUGGUGCUGUCACCACUGUUAUCUCUGGAGAGCUUCACAUGGCACCCUCCAUCACUGCCCGCCAUCACUGAAGAACAUGAUGCUGUCACCACUGUUAUCUCUGGAGAGCUUCACAUGGCACCCUCCAUCACUGCCCGCCAUCACUGAAGAACAUGGUGCUGUCACCACUGUUAUCUGUGGAGAGCUUCACAUGGCACCCUCCAUCACUGCCCGCCAUCACUGAAGAACAUGGUGCUGUCACCACUGUUAUCUCUGGAGAGCUUCACAUGGCACCCUCCAUCACUGCCCGCCAUCACUGAAGAACAUGAUGCUGUCACCACUGUUAUCUCUGGAGAGCUUCACAUGGCACCCUCCAUCACUGCCUGCCAUCACUGAAGAACAUGGUGCUGUCACCACUGUUAUCUGUGGAGAGCUUCACAUGGCACCCUCCAUCACUGCCUGCCAUCACUGAAGAACAUGGUGCUGUCACCACUGUUAUCUGUGGAGAGCUUCACAUGGCACCCUCCAUCACUGCCCGCCAUCACUGAAGAACAUGGUGCUGUCACCACUGUUAUCUGUGGAGAGCUUCACAUGGCACCCUCCAUCACUGCCCGCCAUCACUGAAGAACAUGGUGCUGUCACCACUGUUAUCUCUGGAGAGCUUCACAUGGCACCCUCCAUCACUGCCCGCCAUCACUGAAGAACAUGAUGCUGUCACCACUGUUAUCUCUGGAGAGCUUCACAUGGCACCCUCCAUCACUGCCUGCCAUCACUGAAGAACAUGGUGCUGUCACCACUGUUAUCUGUGGAGAGCUUCACAUGGCACCCUCCAUCACUGCCUGCCAUCACUGAAGAACAUGGUGCUGUCACCACUGUUAUCUGUGGAGAGCUUCACAUGGCACCCUCCAUCACUGCCUGCCAUCACUGAAGAACAUGGUGCUGUCACCACUGUUAUCUGUGGAGAGCUUCACAUGGCACCCUCCAUCACUGCCCGCCAUCACUGAAGAACAUGAUGCUGUCACCACUGUUAUCUGUGGAGAGCUUCACAUGGCACCCUCCAUCACUGCCCGCCAUCACUGAAGAACAUGAUGCUGUCACCACUGUUAUCUGUGGAGAGCUUCACAUGGCACCCUCCAUCACUGCCUGCCAUCACUGAAGAACAUGAUGCUGUCACCACUGUUAUCUGUGGAGAGCUUCACAUGGCACCCUCCAUCACUGCCCGCCAUCACUGAAGAACAUGAUGCUGUCACCACUGUUAUCUGUGGAGAGCUUCACAUGGCACCCUCCAUCACUGCCCGCCAUCACUGAAGAACAUGAUGCUGUCACCACUGUUAUCUCUGGAGAGCUUCACAUGGCACCCUCCAUCACUGCCCAACAUCACUGAAGAACAUGGUGCUGUCACCACUGUUAUCUCUGGAGAGCUUCACAUGGCACCCUCCAUCACUGCCCAACAUCACUGAAGAACAUGGUGCUGUCACCACUGUUAUCUGUGGAGAGCUUCACAUGGGCGAGGGUGUUUUUGACACACUCCUUAGAAGCUGUGCGUAAAAAACUGCCACCUACAGAGAUCCCCACAGCUGCUGCAACUUUGCAGCAGUUCACUUCAUGUGAUCCAGCACCUUCUGCUGCCACUUCAUCUUUACAACCCAGUUCCUCUUCCUCUACAACCAUGGACUGUGCUUCUUCUUUGGUACCUUCUGCACCAUACCAAAACCCAUUUGUUGGCGUUGUAGCCUCCCCUUUUUCAUGGUGCCCCAAGGCAAAGGAGGAGGUUCGUUG